AGUUAAGUGACUAAGCGUACACGGUGGAUGCCUAGGCGGUAGAAGGCGAUGAAAGACGUGAUAGCCUGCGAUAAGCUUCGGUGAGGUGGCAAAUGACCUUUGACCCGGAGAUCUCUGAAUGGGAAAACCCAUCCGUAAUGGAUAUCCUGCUUGCAGGAGGCUAACCGGGAGAACUGAAACAUCUAAGUAACCCGAGGAAAAGAAAUCAACCGAGAUUCCCUAAGUAGCGGCGAGCGAAAGGGGACCAGCCCUUAAGUCAUAAUUGAAUUAGCAGAAUGCUCUGGAAAGUGCAACGAUACAAGGUGAUAGUCCUGUAUGCGAAAGUUCAUUUAUGGUGAAAACGAGUAAGACGGGACACGUGAAAUCCUGUUUGAAGAUGGGGGGACCACCCUCCAAGGCUAAAUACUCUCUACCGACCGAU
rnacentral:rRNA from 1 species